rnacentral:rRNA from 1 species
AGUGAACGCUGGCGGUAGGCCUAACACAUGCAAGUCGAACGGCAGCACAGUAAGAGCUUGCUCUUACGGGUGGCGAGUGGCGGACGGGUGAGGAAUACAUCGGAAUCUACUUUUUCGUGGGGGAUAACGUAGGGAAACUUACGCUAAUACCGCAUACGACCUACGGGUGAAAGCAGGGGAUCUUCGGACCUUGCGCGAUUGAAUGAGCCGAUGUCGGAUUAGCUAGUUGGCGGGGUAAAGGCCCACCAAGGCGACGAUCCGUAGCUGGUCUGAGAGGAUGACCAGCCACACUGGAACUGAGACACGGUCCAGACUCCUACGGGAGGCAGCAGUGGGGAAUACUGGACAAUGGGCGCAAGCCAGAUCCAGCCAUACCGCGUGGGUGAAGAAGGCCUUCGGGUUGUAAAGCCCUUUUGUUGGGAAAGAAAAGCAGCAGGUUAAUACCCCGCUGUUCUGACGGUACCCAAAGAAUAAGCACCGGCUAACUUCGUG